AAAUAAUGAGCUUAAUAGCGCUUAAUUUCGACUUAAGUAGUGGAUUAAUUA
rnacentral:tRNA from 1 species